rnacentral:rRNA from 1 species
AUUGAACGCCGGCGGCAUGCUUUACACAUGCAAGUCGAACGGCAGCGGGGGCUUCGGCCUGCCGGCGAGUGGCGAACGGGUGAGUAAUGCAUCGGAACGUGCCCAUGUCGUGGGGGAUAACUACGCGAAAGCGUGGCUAAUACCGCAUACGCCCUGAAGGGGAAAGCGGGGGAUCUUUCGGGACCGCGCGCGAUUGGAGCGGCCGAUGUCGGAUUAGCUAGUUGGUGGGGAAAAGGCUCACAAAGGCGACGAUCCGUAGCUGGUCUGAGAGGAUGAUCAGCCACACUGGGACUGAGACACGGCCCAGACUCCUACGGGAGGCAGCAGUGGGGAAUUUUGGACAAUGGGCGCAAGCCUGAUCCAGCCAUGCCGCGUGAGUGAAGAAGGCCUUCGGGUUGUAAAGCUCUUUCGGCCGGGAAGAAAUCGCAUUCUCUAAUAUAGGAUGUGGAUGACGGUACCGGACUAAGAAGCACCGGCUAACUACGUGCCAGCCGCCGCUGUAAGAC